GUGUUGCUUCGCACAGUGUCAAAACAAAAGCGACCGCGUAAGUGUGCGUUUGUCGGGGUCGCGCUUGGUGUGUGCUUUUGGUUCUGCUUUUCAUCCAUCCACCGUUUUUGAAACACGGUGGAUUUUUCUAUUGUUAUCGAAUACCUGUGUGCAGUCGCUGCAUAAAAAUGAAGUUUUUCUUUCCCCUCGCACAUCCAAGUAACCUCCAUCAAGUGCGUGUGUUCAGUGAUUGAUUUCGUAGUUAUGUUUUGCUAUUAAAAAAGAAAAAGAAAAACAAGAAUACUCAUCAUUUCCAUCAUCGUUCGUGCGAGUGUGUGUGUGUGCGCUUGAAAAGAAAGCAAAAAGGGAAGAGAACGGAAGUCAACUCGAUUCAAAAUCGAAGGAAAUCGGGUGAUCCACAAAGCGGAAACUCGUGCUGUUUUGUGUGAAGUCGCAGCACAGAAAUCAGCGCAGAAUCAGUGGACCUCAUAGUUUGAUACGCAAAUAGUGGCUUGUGAAGUUGAACCCAUCCGGAAAGUGUCAGCGCACCUUGCAUCAACCCACUACUGCCUCAACUGCCAGCAAGAUUCAACGUACACAGAGCGGCUGCAACUACCUCCACCGCCGUGUUUCGGUUGUGUGGCAGUGCAUAAUCAGCAGCAACAUUAGUGAAGUCAGCGGGAAACAGGCAUUCUUUUUCUGACCGUGAAACAAAGCUUCCCAAAAACGGCAACAUGCCAGACGAAGACAAGGAAUCGUCCGUACGGGUGGCCGUCAGAAUUCGUCCACAGAUACCGCGUGAGCUAAUCGACAUGUGCCGGGUGUGCACGCAGGUCACGCCUGGUGAGCCGCAGGUUUUGCUCGGAUCCGAUAAGGCCUUUACCUUCGACUAUGUGUUCGAUAUGAGUACGACGCAGGUGUCCGUGUACAAUAACUGCAUCGAAAAAUUGGUCGAUGGCGCACUGCAAGGUUACAAUGCUACAGUGUUAGCGUACGGACAGACCGGAUCUGGUAAAACGUACACGAUGGGAACUGGGUUUGAACGAGCCCUGCCAGAGGCACAAGAAGGUAUCAUCCCGAGAGCAGUCCGGCAUCUGUUUGAAGGCAUUGCCCAGCUACAGCAAAACCCGUAUGACGAGGAUGGAACGUAUCUGGGCACGGUGACGUUCAGUGUUGCCGCACAGUUUAUGGAGCUGUACAAUGAAGAAGUUAUAGAUUUACUGGACCCUUACAAUAAAGGUGCUCGGGUGUUUAAAAUCUUUGAAGAUGCGACCGGUGGCAUUUCGGUGGCGGGCGCAACUAUCAAACCAUUGGCUGGUCCUCAGGAAGCCCUGAAUUGCUUGCAGCAGGGUGCUCUCGCUCGUACCACCGCCUCUACGCAAAUGAACGAACAGUCUUCGCGAAGUCACGCACUGUUCACCAUUCUAAUCCGAAGGCAGCGUGUCAUGACGGCCGAGCAGUGUGGUAAUGCUGAAGGUGACACCGAAACGCUCACUUCCAAGUUUCAUUUCGUCGAUCUGGCUGGUUCGGAGCGACUGAAACGUACCGGUGCCACCGGUGAGCGGGCUCGCGAAGGAAUCUCCAUCAACUGCGGCCUGUUAGCGUUGGGCAACGUCAUAUCUGCGCUGGGUGAUAAGACCAAAAAGGUUUCCCAUGUACCGUACCGGGACUCAAAGUUGACCCGACUAUUGCAGGAUUCGCUCGGAGGCAACAGUCAGACGAUAAUGAUUGCAUGCGUAUCGCCAAGUGAUAGAGAUUUUAUGGAGACGCUAAACACGUUGAAGUAUGCCAACCGAGCUCGGAACAUUAAAAACAAAGUACAAAUCAACCAAGAUCAGAGCUCACGGACCAUAUCGUUAUUGCGGAGAGAAAUUGCCAAUCUUCAGCUCGAAAUUCUCGAAUACAAGCAGGGCAAACGCAGCAUCGAUGCAGAUGGUAACAUAGCCAUAUCCGAUGUGUCGCUGGAAAAUGAAAUGCUAUCGCAAGACAAUAAGCGACUGCAGCAGCGAGUGAAAGCGAUGCAGGAGACUAUAAAUGCCUUAACGGAAAAGAAUGCUGCAUUGCAGGCUCAGCAGACGAUAGCCUCCCUGCACAAGGCAUCCGCCGCUGGGGACGGUGGUGCUGAUGCUACGAGCACUAACAAUGGUUCUAGUCCGGUCGGCACGGCAGGUGGUAACGAUUCUGCCAUGCAGGAACUGAUAGUCGGUUAUAUCAGCGAGAUAGAAAAGCUAAAGGCGAAGCUGAUCGAAUCGGAACAGAUGUUCCAGCAAUUCAAAAAAGCUAAGAGCUCGCAAUCGAAGCUUGGCAUAAAAACGUAUCCGUUUAUCGAAGAUAAUCCGGAAACGAUGAUCAAUAUGUUAAAGCACGAGAUGGAAAAGGAACGAGAAACGCUGAUGUCCCGAUCGUUACCGGGACUCGAGCACGAAUCCAGCAGUAUGGACCAGAACUCGGAUAGCGAUUCGGACACCGAAUCGGACGAUAAGGCUGAAGUGUUGCGUGCGGAGAUGUCCGACGUGAACUCGGACAUUGAACUGAAAGUGCGGCUAAUAGAACAGCUGGAAGAAUCUCAACAGCGAUUGCAGAUAAUGCGACAACAGUACGAGAAGCAGUUCAACUUGAUGAAGGAGAAAAUAUCCAACACCGAACGUGAGCGUGAUGAAGUGCUCGCCACCAUCGGCAAUGGAGGUACGGGUGCUAUGAACAACAAGGGACAAAAUUCAGGUAAUGAGACGGCUAUCAAACGCGUGAAGGAGGAUUACGAGCGAAAGCUGAACGAGCUGAGGCGCCAGCUGAACCAUUUCCAAGCGACGAACAAAGAACAUCUGCGGCUGCAGCGUAAUAUGCAGGCGCAGGACGCAAAGAUCAAAAUACUACGAGGUGAACUGGCGGAGCUGAAGCAGGUGAAGACACGACUGAUGAAGAAAAUCCAGGAAGAGAGCAACCGCCACAAAGAGAUGGAAAGCCGCAAGACGCGCGAAAUUGCGCAGCUUCGCAAGGAAACGCGGAAGCAUAAAAAUAUGAUAAAAUCACUGCAGGCACAGGGUGCCGCCAAGGAUCAGGUACUGAAGCGAAAGACUGAGGAGGUUUUCAACCUACGAAAAUCGCAGCGUGGAAUAAUGAGCUUAAAGGCGGCUGGGCGUGUGCAGGGCAACACAUCGAUCGGCAGUAUGCUGCAGGGCACGAAACGCUUCAAGAGUCGCUGGGAAGAGUUGCAGCGUUCGAUUAUGCGAGCGGCUCGCACACGGCAGGCGGUGCUGGAGCUGGAAAUGGAGCUGGAGCGCGUUAUGCAAGAGCGUGACGUGCUGUCACGAGAUCUGACAAACCUGCGGCAGCGAAGGAAGGACAACGCUGAGUCUACACUACAAGAUCUCGUGUCGGAGGAGGACACGAUAAUAGCGAACAUGAACUACUUGCACGACACGAUCACGGAACUACAAAAGUCGAUUAUCCAGAUAGAGGAUGGAAAGGAUCUGAACUCGGAGCACUUGAUGCUGCAGACUAUUAUGGAGAACAUCGGAACUGUCGAGGAGGCCAAAUUUAUGCUGCAACGUGUCUGUACCGUUACCAUUGGGCAUGUAUGCGAGGCCGGCGUGGCACAGUCCAAGCUGCGUGAGCGAGACGCACUACUAACUGAGCUUCAGCGUGAUACUAGCGUACAGGAGCAGCUACUGCAGUACAUACUGACGCGGGCUCCUGCAGCUUCCGCGUCGGAUGCUAGCUUUAGCUCCGCCCAAUCGGCCAACUCGUACGUGACUCAAUCGCAAGCGAAUUUGUUGGAAAAUGGCGAACCACAACCGUCCUCAUCACAGCAGUAUCGUUUACCCCACGUGGUGGAUUCGACGACGCGCAGCCCCUCACCGAGCAGCAGCAACACAAAUCUCGAUUCUAUCGUCACCUACAGGAACUCCUCGAAACAAAGACGAAACCCAUCGGUGGUACCCUCGGUGGCUACCAUUCAGGAUUUGCUGUACGGCAGCAGCUCCAGCUACGUCGGUCCUGCCGGUGACGGUGCUGGUGGCGUUGGCAUUCCCGAUCGGAAUCUCAACCACAGCGCCGGCAACGGUGGAACGGGCGCUAGCAAUGGAGCCAGCAGUGGCGGCAGUAAGCUUGAGAAAGUGGGUAUUUGUAUUUAUCUCGAGGAUUCCGCAGAUGACGAUGACACGAAGCACCCGCCCUCUCUGCAGGAUCGGCACGAAAGGUCGGACGUUAUGACCCGCUCGUACACGAUACUGGAUGGGGCGAUGGAUGCGGUCGCGGCUGCUAACGCAGGACUACCGAUCGCACCACCGCCACCAGUGGCUCCCGUUCCUGCCCGUACGUUUGUACCGCUUUCGCGCGUUCCCAGUGCACCCGGUUCGCUAAAAGGUUUGCAGCCGCAUCAAGGAUUAUCGCGCCAGAACAGUACGGCAUCGCCGCUGCUUGCCAGAAAAUCGUUCGAAGCGAGCGGUGCUCCCUCAUCCCCAAGAAUCAGCCGAAGGACGUUUACCAGCAAAAUGUCUCCCGGCAUUGAGGAUUCGAACGACGUACCAACCUCGCCACCAGUUUACCGGCGGGGAAUAUCCCGUGAGGAUAAUGGGGACGUGUUCUCCCGUCUCGGUGCAGGAACGCAGGAUCCUCAGCCCGGAGGAAACAUCAAGGAACUCAACGGAAGGUACAAGGCUGGUUCUCCGCUUAUCUGCACCCACGUAGUUGAAGGACACACCAAUUCGGUGCUCUCGAUCAAGGUGAGCAAUCAGAUGCUGUUCACAGCGGCAGCCGAUCGUACGGUGAAGGUUUGGGAUCUGCGAACAAACUCAACGCCACACUGUCUGACGGGACAUCUGGGCCCGGUGGCGGCCGUUGAGUACGAUCGGGUGAACAAUCUUCUCUUUUCGGCCUCGGGAGCCUUCGUCAAAGUGUGGGAUCUGCGGAGCAGCAACAUUCGUCCAAUAAUUACUCUAUGCUCCUCUGGAACGACUCUACCUGCCAACGCUACCCUGUCCGAUCUAGUACCAGGGGAAUGCUCCAUUACGGCCCUCACGAUGGGUGCAUCGGGUAAGCUGUACACGGCCGCCUCCGAUAAGGUGCGCUUCUGGGAUCUGCGUCAAUUUUCAAGCCUUGGCCGACUGUCCGGUGGCCACCAGGCGGCCGUCAUGUGUCUGACCGCUUGGGAGGGACCGAACAACACGGACCUAGUAGCGACAGGAUCGAAGGACCACUACGUGAAGGUGUUUGAGGUGAACUCGAGUGGCGGUGUUGUGCAGCCCCUGUUGAACCUGGAACCACCGCAUUACGACGGCGUUCAAGCGCUAGCCGUGGCGAACGAUGCCAUCGGUGUCGAUGCGGAGCUGUUUUCCGGGAGUCGUGACUCCGGGAUCAAAAGGUGGGACCUGCGAAAUGGAGAGCUCAAGCAGUCGCUCAACAAUGCCCACAAGGGAUGGGUAUCCGGGAUGGCCAUCUACGGUGAUAUUCUUCUGUCUAGCUGUCGCGGUGGCGUUGUGCGCCUGUGGAAUAUUAAAACUUGUGACAGUCUGGCCGAAAUGAAAACGGAACAGUCGAUCAAUGACAUCGUAACGAGCGAUAAUCGCGUGUUUACUGCAUCGAAGAUGUGGGCAAAAUUAAUCAUCUGGCUGAUGGUACUGGUGUGGACGUUACAGAUGAUAUUGUUCUUCUUCUGUCCAAUUAGCUGCAAGCAAAGAGCCUAAAUGAUGGAGGGUUUGCUAUCAAAAACAUUAGAAUAGGUAGCAAAGUAAAUACAACACACCCACCCCUCCCAAAUUGAGUGUUUUGUCCGCAAUGGACCAACGUUUCAAACAUUCCGUGUUAACUGUUUGUUUUAAAUGGAAUUAUCUAAUAUUUGCUAGCAGCUUUGUGACUUUUCUUCUGACUUGUGCAACUCAUGAGAUAAAGCAAUCGAUUUCGAUGGAAAGGUUCGCCUGUGGCGUGUUUCGUCGGCAAUUCGACGGCUAGGACCGAAUGAAACUAGCAUAUGACGCCAGAGCACGGAAGCGAUGUCCACAUCUGGUCGGUUGAUGUACACCAGACAGAGCAGUUUGCGACACAAUGUAAUGACCCAGUCGGCUGAACACUCCAAACUCGUUGUUGAUGGCAGGGCAGCCUUACCAAUAAUGACUCGCAGCAGCUAUAAUCCAUCCACAGCGACGGUAUCCUCAUCAUCAACAUCGUCCUCAUCGUCCUCGUCAUGCGCCCCGUCGACAUUUGCUUCCGUGCCUCCGCUAGCUACAGGUAGACCAUUAGUGCCCAACAGUGCCGCGACCGGUUUGGCAACGAUGUCAAGCUCGUUGCGAAACAGCAAACUCUAUCGCAGCCUAAACCACAACUAUCUCAGUAUUUUGAAUCGCACAAAUCGAAGGUAGUUGUUCCUACUGGGGCUAGUUGGUUAGAGAUAGGUUAGAUUAUGGGUGUUGAAAAUCUAUCAACACUUUUGCUUGCGUCUCUUACCAUUCAUAUGCUCUCUUUAUGUGUCCGUACACUGGGUUACAACAGCAUUGGUGUAUUCCCGGUAGGAAGAAUUUGUGUGCGUUGUUUAGAUAGACACAAAACCAGCCUAAACUCUGUAUCCGGUUUUGCUUGAUGGUGUAUAUUCGAAAACAUUGAGCUUACUAAACACUAUCACCAACAUCGUAUUUUUUACGUUGUGUAUAUCAGUAAUCUUUUGUGUGUAUAAGCUUACAGCAUGCUCAAGCUAUUAUGAACAUGACAUAAACAUGAUUUAGGAAUGAUA